GAUCAUGGCUCAGGACGAACGCUGGCGGCGUGCUUAACACAUGCAAGUCGAACGAUGAAGUUAUGACGGAGGCUUCGGCCGACAGAAUAAUGGAAUAGUGGCGGACGGGUGAGUAACGGCGUGAGUAACCUGCCUUUCAGAGAGGAAUAACAUUUGGAAACGAAUGGUAAUACCACAUAACAUUACGUUCUCGCAAUGGGGAUGUAAUCAAAGAUUUUAUCGCUGAGAGAUGG
rnacentral:rRNA from 1 species